ensembl:misc_RNA 7SK 7SK RNA
GGAUGUGAGGGCAAUCUGGCUGCGACAUCCGUCACCCCAUUGAUCGCCAGAGUUGAUUUGGUUGAUAUGGCUGGCUAGGCGGGUGUUCCUUUCCCCCCUCACUGCUCCAUGUGUGUCCCUCCCGAAGCUUUGAGCUGGGUCGAAGAGGAAGACCAUACCCAAUAGAGGAGGACCCAUCUUUGGUCAAGGGUAUAUGAAUAGCUGCACUCCCCUGCCAGAAUCCCCAAACAAGUUCUCAAGUACUAACCUCCAAUACCUGUGAAUGUUGACCUUAUUUGGAAGUAGAAUCUUUGCAGAUGUAAUUGGUUUGUAUGAUGUCAUACUGGAUU